rnacentral:rRNA from 1 species
GACGAACGCUGGCGGCGUGCCUAAUACAUGCAAGUAGAACGCUGAAGGAGGAGCUUGCUUCUCUGGAUGAGUUGCGAACGGGUGAGUAACGCGUAGGUAACCUGCCUGGUAGCGGGGGAUAACUAUUGGAAACGAUAGCUAAUACCGCAUAAGAGUAGAUGUUGCAUGACAUUUGCUUAAAAGGUGCAAUUGCAUCACUACCAGAUGGACCUGCGUUGUAUUAGCUAGUUGGUGGGGUAACGGCUCACCAAGGCGACGAUACAUAGCCGACCUGAGAGGGUGAUCGGCCACACUGGGACUGAGACACGGCCCAGACUCCUACGGGAGGCAGCAGUAGGGAAUCUUCGGCAAUGGACGGAAGUCUGACCGAGCAACGCCGCGUGAGUGAAGAAGGUGUUCGGAUCGUAAAGCUCUGUUGUAAGAGAAGAACGAGUGUGAGAGUGGAAAGUUCACACUGUGACGGUAUCGUACCAGAAAGGGACGGCUAACUACGU